GACUGUGCCACCUGGUUUGCCUGGGACCGAGGGGUCUCUUGGGGCGUGAGCCUUUCAGUACUAAAAUCAGGACA
rnacentral:miRNA from 1 species